CGUAGGGUAACCUGCGGAGGGAUCAUUACACAAUAAAAUACGAAGGCCGUUCGCGGCUGGACUAUUUAUUACCCUUGUCUUUUGCGCACUUGUUGUUUCCUGGGCGGGUUCGCUCGCCACCAGGACCACAAUAUAAACCUUUUUUAUGCAGUUGCAAUCAGCGUCAGUAUAACAAAUGUAAAUCAUUUACAACUUUCAACAACGGAUCUCUUGGUUCUGGCAUCGAUGAAGAACGCAGCGAAAUGCGAUACGUAGUGUGAAUUGCAGAAUUCAGUGAAUCAUCGAAUCUUUGAACGCACAUUGCGCCCUUUGGUAUUCCAAAGGGCAUGCCUGUUCGAGCGUCAUUUGUACCCUCAAGCUUUGCUUGGUGUUGGGCGUUUUUGUCUUUGGCCCGCCAAAGACUCGCCUUAAAAUGAUUGGCAGCCGGCCUACUGGUUUCGCAGCGCAGCACAUUUUUGCGCUUGCAAUCAGCAAAAGAGGACGGCAAUCCAUCAAGACUCCUUCUCACGUUUGACCUCGGAUCAGGUAGGGAUACCCGCUGAACUUAAGCAUAUCAAUAAGCCGGGAGGAAAA
rnacentral:rRNA from 1 species